rnacentral:rRNA from 1 species
AUUGAACGCUGGCGGCAUGCUUUACACAUGCAAGUCGAACGGUAACGCGGGGCAACCUGGCGACGAGUGGCGAACGGGUGAGUAAUGCAUCGGAACGUGCCCGGUAGUGGGGGAUAACUGCUCGAAAGAGCAGCUAAUACCGCAUACGACCUGAGGGUGAAAGGGGGGGAUCGCAAGACCUCUCGCUAUUGGAGCGGCCGAUGUCGGAUUAGCUAGUUGGUGGGGUAAGGGCCCACCAAGGCGACGAUCCGUAGCUGGUCUGAGAGGACGACCAGCCAAACUGGGGCUGAGACACGGCCCAGACUCCUACGGAAGGCAGCAGUGGGGAAUGUUGGACAAGGGACGCAAGUGUGAUCCAGCCAUGCCGGGAGCGGGAAGAAGGCCGUCGGGUGGUAAACCGCUUUUGUCAGAGAAGAAGUCUUCUGGGUUAAUACCUCGGGAGGAUGACGGUAUCUGAAGAAUAAGCACCGGCUAACUACGUGCCAGCCGCCGCCGUAAGAC